AGAGUUUGAUCAUGGCUCAGAUUGAACGCUAGCGGGAUGCUUUACACAUGCAAGUCGAACGGCAGCGCGGACUUCGGUCUGGCGGCGAGUGGCGAACGGGUGAGUAAUAUAUCGGAACGUGCCCAGUAGCGGGGGAUAACUACGCGAAAGCGUGGCUAAUACCGCAUACGCCCUACGGGGGAAAGGGGGGGAUCGCAAGACCUCUCACUAUUGGAGCGGCCGAUAUCAGAUUAGCUAGUUGGUGAGGUAAAGGCUCACCAAGGCGACGAUCUGUAGCUGGUUUGAGAGGACGACCAGCCACACUGGGACUGAGACACGGCCCAGACUCCUACGGGAGGCAGCAGUGGGGAAUUUUGGACAAUGGGGGAAACCCUGAUCCAGCCAUCCCGCGUGUGCGAUGAAGGCCUUCGGGUUGUAAAGCACUUUUGGCAGGGAAAAAACGGCGUCCCUUAAUACGGGGCGUCACUGACGCUACCUGCAGAAUAAGCACCGGCUAACUACG
rnacentral:rRNA from 1 species